rnacentral:rRNA from 1 species
GACAGAGGUGCCAAGCGUUAGGCGGAAUCAUUGGGCGUAAAGAGCUCGUAGGCGGUCUGUCACGUCGGCUGUGAAAACCCGGGGCUCAACCCCGGGCCUGCAGUCGAUACGGGCAGACUAGAGUGCGGUAGGGGAGACUGGAAUUCCUGGUGUAGCGGUGAAAUGCGCAGAUAUCAGGAGGAACACCGGUGGCGAAGGCGGGUCUCUGGGCCGUAACUGACGCUGAGGAGCGAAAGCGUGGGGAGCGAACAGG